rnacentral:rRNA from 1 species
GUCGAUCGUGGGACGCGGGCGGUUCGCCGCCCGGGNCUCGGCGAGAAGUCCAUUGAACCUUAUCAUUUAGAGGAAGGAGAAGUCGUAACAAGGUUUCCGUAGGUGANCUGCGGAGGAUCAUUG